UACAACCCGCCCUUCAGAGGGGGAUAACAACGGGAAACCGUUGCUAAUACCGCGUACGAUUCACAGGCGGCAUCGCUUGUGAAUGAAAGGUGGCCUCUAUAUAUAAGCUAUCGCUGAAGGAGGGGAUUGCGUCUGAUUAGCUAGUUGGAGGGGUAACGGCCCACCAAGGCAAUGAUCAGUAGCCGGUCUGAGAGGAUGAACGGCCACAUUGGGACUGAGACACGGCCCAA
rnacentral:rRNA from 1 species